AUUGAACGCUGGCGGCAGGCCUAACACAUGCAAGUCGAGCGGAUGAAGGGAGCUUGCUCCUGGAUUCAGCGGCGGACGGGUGAGUAAUGCCUAGGAAUCUGCCUGGUAGUGGGGGAUAACGUCCGGAAACGGGCGCUAAUACCGCAUACGUCCUGAGGGUGAAAGUGGGGGAUCUUCGGACCUCACGCUAUCAGAUGAGCCUAGGUCGGAUUAGCUAGUUGGUGGGGUAAAGGCCUACCAAGGCGACGAUCCGUAACUGGUCUGAGAGGAUGAUCAGUCACACUGGAACUGAGACACGGUCCAGACUCCUACGGGAGGCAGCGGUGGGGAGUAUUGGACAAUGGGCGAGAGCCUGAUCUAGCCAUGCCGCGUGUGUGAAGAAGGUCUUCGGAUUGUAAAGCACUUUAAGUUGGGAGGAAGGGCAGUAAGUUAAUACCUUGCUGUUUUGACGUUACCAACAGAAUAAGCACCGGCUAACUUCGUG
rnacentral:rRNA from 1 species